rnacentral:rRNA from 1 species
UAUGGGCGCAGCAGGCGAGAAACCUUUGCAAUGUGCGAAAGCACGACAAGGUUAAUCCGAGUGUCUCCUGCUAAAGGAGUCUUUUGUCAGUUGUAGAAUCACUGGUGAAUAAGGGGUGGGCAAGUUCUGGUGUCAGCCGCCGCGGUAAAACCAGCACCUCGAGUGGUCAGGAGGUUUAUUGGGCCUAAAGCAUCCGUAGCCGGUUGCAUAAGUUUUCGGUUAAAUCUAUGCGCUUAACGUAUAGGCCGCCGAAAAUACUGUGCAGCUAGGGAGUGGGAGAGGUACACGGUACUCGAUAGGAAGGGGUAAAAUCCUUUGAUCUAUUGAAGACCACCUGUGGCGAAGGCGGUGUACCAGAACACGUUCGACGGUGAGGGAUGAAAGCUGGGGGAGCAAACCGGAUUAGAUACCCGGGUAGUCCCAGCUGUAAACGAUGCAGACUCGGUGAUGCAUUGGCUUGUGGCCAAUGCAGUGCCGCAGGGAAGCCGUUAAGUCUGCCGCCUGGGAAGUACGUACGCAAGUAUGAAACUUAAAGGAAUUGGCGGGGGAGCACCACAAGGGGUGAGCUGCGGUUCAUUGGAGUCA